AACGAACGCUUGCGGCAGGCUUAACACAUGCACGUCGAGCGCCCCGCAAGGGGAGCGGCAGAAGGGUGAGUAACGCGUGGGAAUCUCCCCAUCUCUACGGAAUAACGUAUGGAAACGUGUGCUAAUACCGUAUACGUCCUUCGGGAGAACGAUUUAUCGGAGAUGGAUGAGCCCGCGUUGGAUUAGCUAGUUGGUGGGGUAAAGGCCUACCAAGGCGACGAUCAAUAGCUGGUCUGAGAGGAUGAUCAGCCACACUGGGACUGAGACACGGCCCAGACUCCUACGGGAGGAAGCAGUGGGGAAUAAUAGACACUGUGCCCAAGCCUGAUCCAGCCAUGCCGCGGGAGAGAUGAAGGCCCUAGGGUUGUAAAGCUCUGUCUCCGAUGAAGAUAAUGACGGUAACCGGAGAAGAAGCCCCGGCUAACUGCGUUCCAGCCGCCGCGGUAAAAC
rnacentral:rRNA from 1 species